GCUGUGGCUGCCCUCGGCCUCCACCACGUCGCUCUGGUUCGGGAGGCUGGGGUUGAGCAGCGCCGAGCCGGUGGAGGCGUUGGUGCAGGGCGGCAGGAUGCGCGGCGGCGAGCGCUCGCCGCCCACCAUGGAGAACUGGGAUCCACCCAGGAUGCUACCUAGGAGGAUGGAAGCCACCCAGGAUGCUACUGCCCUGGAGGACGGGGGCCACCUAGGAUGCCACCUCCUGACAGCGCAGGGACCACCCAGGAUGCUAUGCCCAGGAGGAAAAGGACCAGUCAGGAUGCCAGCCCCUGGGAGGAUGAGGAUCACCCAGGAUACUAUGCCUAGGAGGAUGGGGACCACUCAGUAUGCCACCUCUUGAGAGGACAGAAACCACCCAGGAUGCUACCAUCUGGGAGGAUGGGGAGCACCCAGGAUGCCAUCUCCUAAGAAGAUGGGGACCACUCAGGAUGCCACCACCCGGGAGGACAGGGAUCACCGAGAUGCCACCUCCAAGAGGAGGGGGACCACUCAGGAUGCUACCACCUAGGAGGACAGGGUACACCUAGGAUUUUACUGUUCAGGGAGAUAGAUUUCUACCCAGAAUCUACAGCCCAGGAAGAUGGGAACCACACUGGAUGCUACCACCUGGGAGGAUGGGGGCCAUCCAGAAUGCUGCUGCCCAGAGAGAUGGGUUUCUACCCCGAAUCUGUCACCCAAAAUGAUGAGGGACCACCCAGGAAGCUACUGCCCGGGAGGAUGGUAUAAUGUACAGUAAUAUAAUACAGUAAUAUAGAAUAUCAUGUAAUGUAAUAUGACAUAUGAUAUGUGAAAUGAUCUCAUAUAGCAUAAUGGAAUAUGUAUAGUAUAGAUAUAUGCGGUAGUAUAUACUAUAAUAUGUAUAACAUGUAUAAAAUGUUGAUAUAAUCCCAGAGUUGGCAAACUGCAGCCUGCCAGCCAAUCUGGCUGCCACCAAUUUUUGCAUGUCCCAGGAGGUAAGAAUUUAUUUUGCUUUUGUUAAAUGAUUGGAAAAAAAUCCAAAAAGAAUACUUCCUGACCUGUUAAAAUUAUAGGAAAUUCAAACUUCAGUGUCUGUCCAUACUUUGGAACACAUCCUCACUCAUUCUUUCAUGUACUGCAUAUGGCUGCUUAGUGGUCAGUAUGCAGGUCAGACUGCAAGGACCACAAAUCCUAAAAUAUUUAUUAUGAUUAUUUUUUUUUUUUUGAGACAGAGUCUCAAUCUGUCACUAAGGUUGGAGUACAGUCACAUGAUCUCAGUUCACUGCACCUACCACUUCCUGGGCUCAAGCAAUUCUCCUGCCUCAGCCUCCUGAGUAGCUGGGAUUACAGGCACCUGCCACUAUGUGUGGCAAUUUUUGUAUUUUUAGUAGAGAUGGGAUUUCACCACGCUGGCCAGGCUGGUCUCGAACUCCUGACCUCAAGUGAUCAGCCUUCCAAAAUGCUGGGAUUAUAGGUGUGAACCACCAUGCCUGGCCCUAAAAUAUUUAUUCUCUGGCCCUUUACAGAAAAAAGUUUGUUGACCCUCUGUUUAAUCAAUAUAUUAAUAUUGCCAAUAAUAAUAUAAUCUAUUUUGUGAUAUUAAUAUAACAAGUGAUAAUUUGACACUGUGUAAUAAUUACUAAUGUAAUGGAUAAAUAGGUCACUACUAACACAAUAUGUCAUACAUAAUAUAUAUCCUAACAAUAUUAAUAUGUAAUAAUACAUUACACAUAAUAUUUAGGUUGAAUCACAGAAAAUUGCCAUUUUGUUAGGCCUCCGACAGUUGAAAUAUUGAUAAUUUCCUAGUAUUUAAGCGAAUGCAUGGCUCAGUAAUGACUGUUGAGUGCAUGUCAGGGAAUAUCAUUGCCACUCCUCCAUCUACAUAUCCACCUUCAAACCACUUCCACAAAUUUAGAAACGGUACAGCCUUGAGUUCACCUGGGAUUCCCUAGUAUGUACUUCACUGGUUUGGCAACCUAAGUAGAGGUAGGACCUUGAUUUAUCUACUCUAUUUUUUGCACAAGUGGAAAUUUUCCCAGAAAUGGCAAAGCUUUGUCUCUAAAGCUCACUUUGUUAUGACUCUGCAUUAUUUUGUUAGGAUUAUGCAUUUACGUUUUCACCAGCCGGGUUUAGGGCUGUCCCAUGGUUCACUGGCUCUGUCUGCAUUUUUCUCACCUACAGAGGAUUUGUGUGCUAGGCAGGGUUCCCUGUGUCUGUAGAUGACAGUUUCUCAACUGUGACACUAUAGAUACUUUGGGACAGAUCAUGAUUUGUUGGGGCAGAGGGGGGCUGUCUUGUUCAUCAUAGAAUGUUUGGCAGCAUCUCUGCUUUACCCAGUAGAUGCUAGUAGCAUCCCCCUCCCCUCUUGUGACAACCCAGAAUGUCUUCAGACAUUGCCAGAUAUCCUGAGGGUGGGGUAAUGGGAGCGAAGUCACCCCAGCUGAGAACCACCACUGCAGAUGCAGGAGGGCACCCUGGAGUAGUUCAGGCUCUUCAGAACUAUUCAUUAAAUGACCAGGCUAGGACUCUACUCUUUACAUCAGCAAAUCCACAGACAGCAACAAAUGGUAGAAACAGGAAUUAAUUGUUUUAAAAUGUGAAGUUCUCAAAUCAACACAAAAAAUAAAUCUUAAGCUCAGAUGGCAUGUGGCCUGUGUCCUUUUGAGUUCAGGCUGAUAGAGAAAGUUGAUGGAGCCAAAAGCUUGCUCUGAAAGGAAAGCUACCAGGGUGGAUUAAUCUGUUUUUGGAAGGCAUCGGCAGUUGAUCAACUUCCUCAUAUUUCAAGCCUGUUAUUCCAGCAGGGAGAGCUAGUGUGUUCUCUCUCCCCCCUCCCUCUUACACUCUCUUCCACGCCCCAUCCUCCCUCGCUCUGAUGGUCUUUUAUUGCCCUUACUAAUUUUUUUAAAAAUGAACUUCCCUGUACCUUUGGGGUGAAUGUGAUGAGGGGAUACACUCCUCAUCAGAGAGGUAAUUAAAGUUUAUAGAAACAGCCCAAGUCUGUAGCAGAUCCCUUCACUAAUGAGGAAACCAGGAGUCUGACUUUCAAACAAACAUUCCUGUUAAUCUUUUCAAAGCCAGGCAGACAUGUGGGCAGGGAAAAUGUUGUAAACGGACAGUGGUUCUGAGGCUGCCCUUCCUUGGCCACACUCUAGUCAUUCUUGAGCCAGGGCACACCUCAUUCCACAGAGUUCAUCCUUGCCCGCUCACUGGGGCAAUCUGUGAGCAAGCCCUGUGUCACUUGCUUUUGCUGACAUGGAGAGCUGUGACAUGUUUGAGAGUUAACAGGAAGCUUUACUCCAUCUUUUUCCAGUUAGAUUUGUAGAGUCUACAGAGAAGCUGCGACAGGAGGAAAAGCAUUAGGCAAAUACAGUCAGUUUGUUGUCAGCUGAUGCAAUACUCUGGACACAAAUAAAGGACUCUGCCCAUUAUUCUUCUUGCUUCAUUUGCCCUGAGACAAAAACGUGAAUCUACUGGAAAAUGAAAGGUCACCCUGUUUUACAGCAAUGUCUGGACAUGCUCUGCCAGUAGGUUCCAACUACUACAUGGUAAUGUGGUGAUGGUACCAAGUUCCUGGAAUCUGGAGUGAGUCUGUGAUUCGUCAUGGACGGAAGAGCUGGAAUGAUGUUACAGUGUCAGCUGCUGUGGGAAAACAGUUCUUUCACUUGUGGACAGACCAUCCAAAAACAAGAGCUGAAAUGCUGCUGAUGGUCUUUCUUCUAUGUACACACGAACAACGUGAUACUACGAAAGACCAUCCAUUUGGGCAAAUUAACUUUUUAACACAUAUUUUGAUAAUAAAACACCCUCUGCCCUCUA